rnacentral:rRNA from 1 species
AAAUGAAUAGACGGGGACCCGCACAAGCAGCGGAGCAUGUCGUUUAAUUCGACGCAACACGAAAAACCUUACCAAGGCUUGACAUUAGAUGCAUAGCGUGGAAACACGUGAAGUUGAGUAGUAAUACUCGACAUCCAAACAGAUGGUGCAUGGUUGUCGUCAGCUCGUGUCGUGAGAUGUUGGGUUAAGUCCCGCAACGAGCGCAACCCUUAUUAUUAGUUGCCAAUAUUAAGUUAGGAACUCUAAUAAGACUGCCGUAGAUAAUACGGAGGAAGGUGGGGAUGACGUCAAAUCAUCAUGCCUCUUACGCCUUGGGCUACAAACGUGCUACAAUGGUCACUACAAAGAGAUGCGACAUAGUAAUAUUGAGCAAACCUCAAAAAAGUGAUCUCAGUUCAGAUUGUGGGCUGCAACCCGCCCACAUGAAGACGGAGUUGCUAGUAAUCCCGAAUCAGCAUGUCGGGGUGAAUGCGUUCCCGGGUCUUGCACACACCGCCCGU